rnacentral:rRNA from 1 species
UGGGGAAUUUUGGACAAUGGGGGCAACCCUGAUCCAGCCAUGCCGCGUGCAGGAUGAAGGUCGUCGGAUUGUACACUGCUUUUGUCAGGGAAGAAAAGUUUAGAGCGAAUAACUCUGAAUGCUGACGGUACCUGAAGAAUAAGCACCGGCUAACUACGUGCCAGCAGCCGCGGUAAUACGUAGGGUGCAAGCGUUAAUCGGAAUUACUGGGCGUAAAGCGUGCGCAGGCGGUUGUGUAAGAUGGGUGUAAAAGCACCGGGCUCAACCCUGAACGAACAUCUGAUACUGACAGACUUGUGUAUGGAAGAGGUAAGUGGAAGUCCUAGUGUAGCGGUGAAAUGAGUAGAUAUUAGGAGGAACACCAGUGGCGGAGGCGACUUACUGGGCCAUAACUGACGCUGAGGCGCGAAAGCGUGGGGGGCAAACAAG